CCCAGUGGUUCUGAGUAACUCAUUGGGUUGGCAGAGCCUUGUCAGAUCUGCAUCACAGCCUAAGGCUGCCCCAGUCCAAUGCUGCUUUCUCCUCCCUUUCUUAUCACAGAGGACUGAUGAGAAAAUUCAGGCUCAGAGAAGAUAAAUCAACACAGCUGGAAAGUGGCAGAAACAGGAUUUGCACAGCUUCAAAGUCCUCCAUGAGUUCUUUCAAGGAGGCUGAACUCCCUGAAAUCAGGCUGUGCACAAAACUGCCUCAUUUUAUUCCAAGAUGGCAAAUAAGAAAAGAAACAACUUGCUGAAAUGCUGCAACUCCCUCCACUUGUGAAAUAAAAGAACCUGCUGAAAUUGAACCAAGAUGGCCACCAGGAGUUUGGGCAGAAGGAGCUUGUUGAUGUCACAGCCUGAAUUUCCACUGCAUGUUUUAUACUAACUCCCCUCACAUUUGCACAUGAAACCCAUGAAGUAACAUGAAGAAAUAACUGUGCACGCUCAAGUACUUUCCAAACUUCUCCUUUGUUUCCACUAAUUACCCAAUAAUCUCAGAAUCCACCUCCUAACCUUUUCUAAUAAAAAUACUGCCUGAAAGCCAGCAGA